CUGGGUUAUCAGCUCCCUCGGGAGCACCGCCCGCCCUCUGUCAUUUGCAACGGUAUUGCUUCGGCCGCUGGUCCUGCGUGCGGGUGCCCUUUGCGGGGUGCCUGGCGGGGGUCCACGGUCGGUCUCUCAACUCAUUGUAUGAAUGUGUGUGUCUGAAGCGAAAAGAAAAAACGAAAAGCA
rnacentral:misc_RNA from 1 species